GGCAUGACUCUCGGCAAUGGAUAUCUUGGCUCUUGCAUCGAUGAAGAAUGUAGCAAAAUGUGAUACAUGGUCUGAAUUGUAGAAUCCCAUGAUCCAUCAAGUCUUUGAAUGCAAGUUGCACCUGAGGCCAUCCGACUGAGGGCAUGCCUACCUGGGCGUCAUGC
rnacentral:rRNA from 1 species